rnacentral:rRNA from 1 species
UAGCAUAUCAAUAAGCGGAGGAAAAGAAACCAACCGGGAUUGCCUCAGUAACGGCGAGUGAAGCGGCAAGAGCUCAAAUUUGAAAUCUGGCCCCCUCGGGGUCCGAGUUGUAAUUUGCAGAGGAUGCUUCGGGUGCGGUCCCCAUCUAAGUGCCCUGGAACGGGCCGUCAUAGAGGGUGAGAAUCCCGUCUGGGAUGGGCGGCCGCGCCCGUGUGAAGCUCCUUCGACGAGUCGAGUUGUUUGGGAAUGCAGCUCUAAGCGGGUGGUAAAUUUCAUCUAAAGCUAAAUACUGGCCGGAGACCGAUAGCGCACAAGUAGAGUGAUCGAAAGAUGAAAAGCACUUUGAAAAGAGAGUUAAACAGCACGGUGAAAUUGUUGAAAGGGAAGCGUUGUCCACCAGACUCGCCCGGGGGGGCUCAGCCGGCACUUGUGCCGGUGUACUCCCCUCCGGGCGGGCCAGCGUCGGUUUGGGCGGCUGGUGAAAGGCCCCGGGAAUGUAACACCCUCCGGGGUGCCUUAUAGCCCGGGGUGCCAUACAGCCAGCCUGGACCGAGGCCCGCGCUUCGGCUAGGAUGCUGGCGUAAUGGUGGUCAACGGCCCGUCUUGAAACACGGACCAAGGAGUCUAACAUCUAUGCGAGUGUUCGGGUGUCAAACCCGUCCGCGCAGUGAAAGCGAACGGAGGUGGGAGCCCCUCGGGGUGCACCAUCGACCGAUCCUGAUGUCUUCGGAUGGAUUUGAGUAAGAGCGUAGCUGUUGGGACCCGAAAGAUGGUGAACUAUGCCUGAAUAGGGCGAAGCCAGAGGAAACUCUGGUGGAGGCUCGCAGCGGUUCUGACGUGCAAAUCGAUCGUCAAAUUUGGGUAUAGGGGCGAAAGACUAAUCGAACCAUCUGGUAGCUGGUUCCUGCCGAAGU